rnacentral:rRNA from 1 species
AUGGCGUACUCCUCCUAUUUGAAUCGGAGUUUGAAACCAAACAAACUUCUCCUCGGGAGGAUAGAUGGGGUGAUUCAGGUGAGAUCCCAUGUAGAUCUAACUUUCUAUUCACUCGUGGGAUCCGGGCGGUUGAGGUUCGUCCUCAAUGGGAAAAUGGAGCACCUAACAACGCAUCUUCACAGACCAAGAACUACGAGAUCACCCCUUUCAUUCUGGGGUGACAGAGGGAUCGUACCAUUCGAGCCUUUUUUUAUGCUUUUCCCGGCGGUCUGGAGAAAGCAGCAAUCAAUAGGACUUUCCUAA